UGACGAGUAGUCCAUCCUAUAAUCCAUCCAUCCUAUAAAGGACCGAUCAAACAAUGCUAUAGCCACCAAGAAAAUUUCCCCCGCUGAGAAGGUGUAACAUUGAGUACCCAAAAAACUAUACUCAGAAAUCCCUCAACAUGAAAAUCAAUGGUCCACAGCCUUUACAUGAUGAGUCCAACGCCAUCCAACGGCUGAUCUUAUAUGGAUCAUUCGGCUUCAACGCAACGCACCGCUUCAGCCAACCGCCCGCGCGUCCGUCCCUCCCCCGCUCCCCUCUCCCUCUCCCUCACGCGCCCGACUCCCAGCGCGCACCCGCAGUUCGAACGCUGGCGACUCCUCAUUUUUUUUCUAUUUUUUCCUCCCUCUCCCCUGCGACUCCCGCACGCGCCGCUCCCCACCGGCGGCCGCUGCCGCUCGCGGCCCCGCGCACCAGCACGCGCCGCGGCUCACCCGCGCCGACCGACGCUGCCCCGCGCGCGGGAUGGGGCGGCCUGCGCCGGCCGCCAUUGCCGCUCGCACGCACAGUCGCGCCCCCGCCCGCCGGCAGGCCGCUCGCCCCACGCCCUUGCGCCCAUGCCUCCGCUCGCCCUCGCAGUCGCCACUCCAGGACCCUCCGACGACCAGAUCUGGUCAGCAAAGCCCCCCCCCCCCCCGGCGCGCGCGCUCUCUCUCUCGAUCGAGAGGGGCAGGGGCGGCGGAUCCAAGGCGGGGACGCGCCGUUGCCGCCUCGCCUGCCCGCGCAGGAGCCGUGUUGCUCACCCGAGUGUGAGCAGCCACAUGCCCCCCACCCCUCCCGGCGGCAGCCAUGUGCUGGCCCAGCCGGCCGCGGCCCUCUGCUGGCGGCGCGGCCGUGCGCAGGCACAUGGUGCCCCGCCACUGCCGUCGCGGCCCUCCGCCUGCGUGCACGCACCGCCGGCCACGCGCCCUGCAGCAUGCGCUCCUUCGGGACUCCCGCAGUUGUGUACACGAUGUGGACGGGCUCAACAAUUAAGUACUUCGUUGUCCGGGACUCCCACAGCUGCGUCUUCAUCUUCUGGGCCGUAGGUGACAUGCUGCUCAAGCUGGGAAGCCGGUGCCUCCGGUUAGUCACAGGUACCAUGCUCUUCACAUUCCUCUCGCCACACAUUGCAGUUGCUAUGCAAAUCUGCUGUAGGUUUUACCGGACUGCAUGUUCUGCAUCCUCCCAGCCUUUCAGUCACUGUUUCUAUUUUGGUCAAAUGUCCCAACUUAAUGGUUCUGUCUUGCCGUGACAAUCGGCUAAAAAGGAAUUUGGGAAGAGAAUGAUGCUUCCCAUCAAGAAUCUGAAACUUUAAUAAGGCAUACAUGUGUGGUUUGCCUUCUAACUGGCUUACUGCUACUUAUAUGCAUAUUUACAGGACGCAGCAAUUAAAACAAAAGAAUGGAGUAAUAUUGCCCAGAAUGGCAGGAGCUAUAUCAUUGUUUAGUUGUUUUCACUCGAUCAGCUUUUGUGCCAAGAUAUUUGGAUGCUUAUGCGGUGAAGUGAUGGCCUUUGUAUUGUCUUUGUGCCAGGAGCACACGAGCCAUUAGCAUCACUCAUGGCACCUCUCAUGCACAGAUGCUCUUGAUGCUUCUCUCCACUAUAAGCCUAUAAAACCAGUUUUACUCUCUUAAGAGAUGUGGCUGAAUGGCAGAGUGAGGAGGAAAAUUACUCUAUCUUGGACAUUAAGUUAAGUAAUAAUAUCUGUCUCACUUUGCUUUACCAAAUUCAUUGACCUAUUUAUUUUGUAAGUCAUAUUUGAAAACAACAAACAAAGAAUCAGUAAACAAUGUCUCAUACAGUUGGCCCAAAGUUUUAGUAACUAAAUUGUUUAUGCAGCAAGGCAUGAAUGUUUAAAACCAACUCUGGCUAACAGGCUAAGUGUGUUUCUGGAUGUCAUUUGCUUGGUUCAUUUGGCACUUCGACCAAAGUUUCAGUUAGCAUCUUCUACAUAAUAGUUCGUUCAGUUAAGUGUAUUGUUGAAAAGUUCCUAGAUUUUUUUUUGAUGAUCAGAUAGGUGCAGAUCCAUUUAAUCUAUUUUUUAGCAUAUUAGAUUUAUCAAAGUUGCUAUUCCAGGCAGUCUUGUUGCAUUUUGGAAUGUCUGCUCUUAGGCUCAAAGCAUUCCAGCUCAUUGCUUAGAAGAGAAGGAUUAUGUCUUCGCUCCUUGCAUAAUCAAUAAAAUUGCUUAUUUCCAAUGCUUAAGGUAAAAAAGAUUUACUUGUGCUAUGUUAUGGCUGAUUAGCUAUAUAUACAAGUAUUUUUUUUUGAAACAUUAGCUAUCUGGAGUAGUACAACUAGAUUUGAAAAUACAGUGAGGCUCAUUACAUGAUUUAUAGAUGGAUUUUAGGAAGAAAAUUAGCAACUGUACUGCAUUCUAAUUUUAUUUGAACUGUGCUAGACUUUAGGUCGUUGUGACUGAAUGGCUUUAGGUCAUUGUGACAUGUGGCUAUGAGUGUCAAUGACAUUGUAACUUCAGGUGCAAGACCUUUGACCUCUUUUGCUCAUGACUAUUUUAAUUUUGCUCAUAAUGUCUUUAUGGUUUAUGAAGGUUAUCAAGGGGAUUGUGGAUGGCUGUCUACAAUCUGAUUGCACUCUCAUACCAUAGGAGGUGAGUUUUUAAAAUUACCAUGAUUUAACAAUUUAACCAGUGGUGGAUCAGGAUGGUUAGUGUGCUGAAGGAGCAAGUUGGGCGAGCAGUGGUCGAGGCAAUAGUUAGAGGGAACACUCCACACAUCCUGGUAUUACUAACCAAUUGGUACGAUGCAGGGAAGAUGGCCAGAGUGGUAGGACGGGCUCAGGGCAGGAGGAGCACUUGUUAGUUAAGUGGAAGAAGACCAUAUCCUCAGCUCAAUUUUGGAUGCAAACUGGUUACUUGUACUCUUGGGAUGCUGGUGUUUGCUGUGCAACUGUAUUGGUUUUAGAUUUUGAGUGUGUGCCAUAUUCUUGGUACAUCCGUACAUGGCCAAUUAUUAAUUUUUGAUGUCCUUGAUUUGUUGGUUCCUGCAUGCGCAUUAGUGCCAAUAUUCUUGGUACAUCCGUACAUGGCCAAUUAUUAAUGUUUGAUGUCCUUGAUUUGUUGGUUCCUGCAUGCGCAUUAGUGCCAAGAAGGGACAUGUUCUGCUUAGCAAUCUCAAGGCGCUCGCCAACUUCGGUGUGGAGGCAUAGAAGAUGGAAGGUCUGUUGGAAAAUUUUAGGUGUGGAGGAAUCCAAUUUUUUAUCCGUAGCGUUAGCACGGCCAUACUUACUAUGAUGUUGAAAUUAUUGAUGUGGUUGUGUCAGUCUCUACAUUAGUAAUGCAUGUCUAUUUGUAAUUGACCAACCGUGAUAUCUGCUUAUAUGUAUUAAGCUACUUUGUA